CUCUUGUAGCUGAAUGAACACAAAUCCCCACAGCCACGCUCCAAAAUCUAGUGGAAAGCCUUCCCAGAAGAGUGGAGAUUAUUAUAACAGCAAAGGGGGAAUAAAUCUGGAAUGAGAUGUUCAACAAACACAUAUGACUAUGCUGAUUUGUUAUAAGUACAGUGUUUGGCUGAUUUGGGCACAAAGUGUCAAAGGUCAUAGUGUAUCUGACCCUGAAGUCUGUUCCAAGAUGUUUCCUGACCCGUCGCCCAUCUCCUCACAUGCCUCCACUUCUCCUCCAUCUCCAUCUGCUCCCCGAUUCGUCGAUGUUUCCACCAGUCCAUCCUGGUCACAGCUGAUAUCUUGUGACUCAUCAGCUCGCUCUUCCUCCUCCUCGUCCUCCACGUCCAUCUCAAACACGCGGACGUGACGCAGGUUCGAACUCAGCUAGUUCAGCAAGUGCAAAACGCGUGGAGUUAGUUUAUGAAUAAGCAAGUAGUAAUUAGUUCGAAUUUACAGACCUAUGCUUUAUUCAUACAGUCACACAAAUAAAUGAUCUCUAAGUAAGCUGUAAAACAGACAAAACUCAAAUAGUUACAUUAGGCUCAUAACUGCUUUGUAUAAUGUGUUUAAUCUCAACUCUUUUAAUAAGAUCUCUGUAUGUGUACCAACUAAACAGCAAUCUCUCUAUGAUUUUAAUCUCUAAUUCAUUAAAAAAGCACAAGAA